UGUGAAUUAAAUGAACCACAAAAAACAGAAAGAAUGCAACAACAGAGAACAGGAAUCACAACAACUAAGACAGAACACUCACUGGCUUUCGAGAGGCCAGUCCUCUCCUCACAACACUCAGGAUACCCAAAAAAAAGAAGAAGAAGAAGAAGAAGCAUAAUCUCCUUGGGGCCUCAAGCGCCACUGUAAAACCAAAAGAGAGCCCUUACGGACUCCAAAAAUGCCCUCUCCUAAGCCAGGUCAAAAGCAACUCUAAAGCAGCCCUAUUUUUUAUUUUCUUGCUCUUUAAUUUUUGGAUGAGUCGGGUCAACAUUCUGACCGUCUGAAAGCAUCUUUCCUUUUUAUGCUGCUUCUCAGUUUUCCUUUUGUAGGUUUGGGCAGCAAAAGCAAUUCUAUCAUUUUCACCAGGAGGCAUCUGAGGGAAGCUUGAAGGGAAUUCUUGGUUACACUGAGGAUGAUGUGGUGUCCACUGAUUUUGUUGGUGACUGCAGUUAAGGAUACGCCAUUGAGAUUCCCAAUUGGACGUAUGCCGCUGUCUGGGUCUAAUUCUUGGUCAAGCGUUUUUGACGCAAAGGCUGGAAUUUCCUUGAGUAACAAUAUUGUGAAACUUGUCUCUUGGUAUGACAACGAAUGGGGCUACAGUUCCCGUGUGGUUGACCCUAUCCGACACGUUGCCUCUGUUUAAAAACUGCAUUCGGCCCAAGUCUUGCAUCUUGAAGCUAGCAUUCAACUCACUUCACCCAUUAGGUUUAUAAGUUUUUGGAAUAAUGCAUAAUUCUAAGAUGAUAAGCACUAGAGGAAACGGUGGGAACCUCUACUUCAGAUAGGUUAAUUUUAUCAGAUUUCUUCUUGUCUAGGAUAAUACGAAUCAUAUCUUAUGAGAAACUUCUUUCUUUUAA